CUGGUCCCGGGGCGAGAUGCCCACCAACUGCCCGCUCGGUGGUGGCUUCGGCGAGGCGGUCGAGCGGCCCAGGCCUCAGGAGGCCCGGCCACGUCUCCGGCGAGACCUCGCCUGGCCCCGCCGCCCUCGCCCGCCUUCCGCCCGCCCCAAGCUGGCCCCGAGGGAGCCGGCUCCCCGGGCCGACGGAAAAAUUGGAAAGCCUUCCCCGCCCGGGUGCAGUAAAGCACAGCAGAAAUUUGAUGGCAGUGUCCUGAUCUGAAGGAAAACUUCUGAUGGCUUUGGGGACAACAAGAAGCAGAGACAUGAUACCUGUGAACUCUUUGAGUGUUCUAUCUUCCUUGCCAUUUCUGAAGGCCAUGGGAUACUUUUCAAGGAAACUUCUGGAUGUGGUGCCAUAGAGAGACGUAUGUCCGCAUUUAAAAGAACAAAGUUACAUAUGGGAAUUAUGCUUCUGGAAAACCACCAGAAGAUUGUGCAUAUCAUGGAACAAAAGAAAUAAGGAAGAACGGCUAACAUGAGACUUGGACUGAGAUAACGUUUAUCGAAGACAAACAUCAGUGAUGCAUCUCAUUGUUCAAGGACUAGAUAUUUGCUAAAAACAAAACAAAGCAACAACAAAACCCCAUGGGAUUUAGGAAGCUGAGUCACUGAGGAAUAUUUACACUACUUUCCCUAAGAAUUUUAACACAAAUGCUAUUCUUUCACCCUUUCCAUCAAAUCUAUUCCUCCUUUGUCCUCUUCAUCACAGUAAAAUACUCCUAUUAUCCACCCA